CAGAAUGGACACAGUCAAGCUGAUAAUUAUUCUGUAAUGAUGAAAACCUUUGUGGUUCAGUGGUGGAUGGACUCCCGCGGCCUAAAUUAUUCUCCAGUCGUGAAAUCUUUACCUGUCCCUCCGAGUAAGGAGAAUGGCAUGCAGUAAUGGAUGUACCUUGGCUGUUUUAAUCAUUAUUUAGGGACGAGGAUCUUAACUGUCACCCA